rnacentral:rRNA from 1 species
GAUGAACGCUGGCGGCGUGCCUAACACAUGCAAGCCGAGCGAACGGACGAGAAGCUUGCUUCCUUGAUAUUAGAGGCGGACGGGUGAGUAACACGUGGAUACAAUCCCUAUAAGACUGGGGUACAUUCGGGAAAACGGAGCUAAUAUCGGGCAAUCUUUCUAAUCGCAUCGUUCAGAAGAAAAAGACGGUCUUGCUGUCACUUAUACAUGGACCGGCGCUGCAUUAGGUAGUUGGUAAGGUAACGGCUUACCAAGGGAACGAUAGAAACCCGACCUGAGAGAGGGACCGCCCACAUGGGAACUGGAACACGCUCCGGACUCCUAGGGGAGGCAGCGGUAGGAAAUCUUCCGAAAUGGGCGAAGGCCUGACGGGGCACCGCGGCGGAAGUGAUGAAGGUCUUCGGAUCGUAAAACUCUUUUAUUGGGAAGGAACAUAUGUGUAAGUAACGGUGCACAUCUUGACGGUACCUAAUCAGAAAGCCACGGCUAACUACGUG